AUUGAACGCUGGCGGCAGGCCUAACACAUGCAAGUCGAACGAGUGGCGGACGGGUGCGUAAUGUCUGGGAAACUGCCUGAUGGAGGGGGAUAACUAAUGGACACGGUAGCUAAUACCGCAUACCAUCGGAUGUGCCCAACAGGGAUUAGAUAGUAGGGGGGGUAAAGGCUCACCUAGGCGACGAUCCCUAGCUGGUCUGAGAGGAUGACCAGCCACAGUGGAACUUAUAUACGGUCCAGACUCCUACGGUAGGCAGCAGUGGGGAAUAUUGCACAAUGGGCGCAAGCCUGAUGCAGCCAUGCCGCGUGUAUGAAGAAGGCCUUCGGGUUUUAAAGUACUUUCAGCGGGGAGGCGUUACCCGCAGAAGAAGCACCGGCUAACUCCGUGCCAGCAGCCGCGGUAAUUC
rnacentral:rRNA from 1 species